rnacentral:rRNA from 1 species
CCCUAGUAACUGCGAGUGAAGCGGGAAAAGCUCAAAUUUAAAAUCUGGCGGUCUUUGGCUGUCCGAGUUGUAAUCUAGAGAAGUGUUAUCCGCGCUGGACCGUGUACAAGUCUCCUGGAAUGGAGCGUCAUAGAGGGUGAGAAUCCCGUCUUUGACACGGACUACCAGGGCUUUGUGAUGCGCUCUCAAAGAGUCGAGUUGUUUGGGAAUGCAGCUCAAAAUGGGUGGUAAAUUCCAUCUAAAGCUAAAUAUUGGCGAGAGACCGAUAGCGAACAAGUACCGUGAGGGAAAGAUGAAAAGAACUUUGGAAAGAGAGUUAAACAGUACGUGAAAUUGCUGAAAGGGAAACGCUUGAAGUCAGUCGCGUUAUCCAGGGAUCAGCCUUGCUUUUGCUUGGUGCACUUUCUGGUUGACGGGUCAGCAUCAAUUUUGACUAUUGGAAAAAGAUCAGGGGAAUGUGGCAUCUUCGGAUGUGUUAUAGCCCUUGGUUGUAUACAAUGGUUGGGAUUGAGGAACUCAGCACGCCGCAAGGCCGGGUUUAAACCACGUACGUGCUUAGGAUGCUGGCAUAAUGGCUUUAAUCGACCCGUCUUGAAACACGGACCAAGGAGUCUAACAUACCUGCGAGUGUUUGGGUGGAAAACCCGAGCGCGUAAUGAAAGUGAAAGUUGAGAUCCCUGUCGUGGGGAGCAUCGACGCCCAGACCAGACCUUUUGUGACGGUUCUGCGGUAGAGCAUGUAUGUUGGGACCCGAAAGAUGGUGAACUAUGCCUGAAUAGGGUGAAGCCAGAGGAAACUCUGGUGGAGGCUCGUAGCGAUUCUGACGUGCAAAUCGAUCGUCAAAUUUGGGUAU